UUCUCUGGCUUUUCAUCUUCACUGCCUUUUCUUUCACAGAAAGUUCAGCUGGGAUGACCAACUUGUAUCUGUACACCUGCUCUAAUCUGGAGGAGGGAAUAAGACCUGUGAUCACCUCUAAAACAACCAGUGCGAUUUUCCAUGGGACAGUGCCAGGUA